CCCCUCUCAGGACGGCACCUGGAGAGUUUCCAGCACUCUGCCAGUCUUGGUUACGGGAGGGAGAGUCAAGCAGAGGCCUGUCCAUUCCAUUCCCAGCUUGGCCAGUGGCUAGCGAGUGGCAGGGAAUCCGCUACAAGU